GAGUUUGGANAUGGCUCAGGACGAACGCUGGCGGCGUGCUUAACACAUGCAAGUCGAACGAUGAAGCCCUUCGGGGUGGAUUAGUGGCGAACGGGUGAGUAACACGUGGGCAAUCUGCCCUUCACUCUGGGACAAGCCCUGGAAACGGGGUCUAAUACCGGAUAACACUCUGUCCCUCAUGGGGCGGGGUUAAAAGCUCCGGCGGUGAAGGAUGAGCCCGCGGCCUAUCAGCUUGUUGGUGGGGUAAUGGCCUACCAAGGCGACGACGGGUAGCCGGCCUGAGAGGGCGACCGGCCACACUGGGACUGAGACACGGCCCAGACUCCUACGGGAGGCAGCAGUGGGGAAUAUUGCACAAUGGGCGAAAGCCUGAUGCAGCGACGCCGCGUGAGGGAUGACGGCCUUCGGGUUGUAAACCUCUUUCAGCAGGGAAGAAGCGA
rnacentral:rRNA from 1 species